rnacentral:rRNA from 1 species
UACGUAGGGUGCAAGCGUUAAUCGGAAUUACUGGGCGUAAAGCGUGCGCAGGCGGUUGUGCAAGACCGAUGUGAAAUCCCCGGGCUAACCUGGGAAUGGCAUUGGUGACUGCACGGCUAGAGUGUGUCAGAGGGGGGUAGAAUUCCACGUGUAGCAGUGAAAUGCGUAGAGAUGUGGAGGAAUACCGAUGGCGAAGGCAGCCCCCUGGGAUAACACUGACGCUCA